rnacentral:rRNA from 1 species
GAACGAACGCUGGCGGCAUGCCUAACACAUGCAAGUCGAACGAGACCUUUGGGUCUAGUGGCGCACGGGUGCGUAACGCGUGGGAAUCUGCCCUUGGGUUCGGAAUAACAGUGAGAAAUUGCUGCUAAUACCGGAUGAUGUCUUCGGACCAAAGAUUUAUCGCCCAGGGAUGAGCCCGCGUAGGAUUAGCUAGUUGGUGGGGUAAUGGCCUACCAAGGCGACGAUCCUUAGCUGGUCUGAGAGGAUGAUCAGCCACACUGGGACUGAGACACGGCCCAGACUCCUACGGGAGGCAGCAGUGGGGAAUAUUGGACAAUGGGCGCAAGCCUGAUCCAGCAAUGCCGCGUGAGUGAUGAAGGCCUUAGGGUUGUAAAGCUCUUUUACCAGGGAUGAUAAUGACAGUACCUGGAGAAUAAGCUCCGGCUAACUCCGUG